AUGGAGAGGGAAUAGAAUGGUCCUGAGUGCUUUAUUACUUUGGUCUUUAACACCAGCGUGAGUUAAAUUAAGCUGGUGUUCGAAACAUGACCGAACGCGACUUAAGUCACAUUGGGUUAUACACCUACGUGAAUUAACUCACGCUGGGAUAUUUUAAUCAGUUUGGUUGGGUGUGAACGUUUUUUUGUUGGGAGAAGAGCAGUUUUCUACACAUUAACAAAUAAUAAUAAAUACAUUACAUCCAGAAAUUAAAGAGAAUUUAAUUUUAUUCCCCUAAAAUUUCUUUUUCACCUCUAAGUUGUUGUACUUCCGGUCCCGUGAGCGUAGCUCAUUUGGUAGGAUAAUGCAUUAUUAUAUGCAGGGGUCGGGAUUCGAACCCAGACACCCCACUUAUUCACCUUAUUAGGUGAAUUC
rnacentral:lncRNA from 1 species